rnacentral:lncRNA from 1 species
CAGAACCUGGUUUCUCACAAUUCCUUCACCUUCCAACUUCCAUGUGCCUCUCUCGUCUCGGUCUUGCCGUCUGCAUAUUGGUUUCAACUUUCAAGUUCAACAUUCAAAGGUUUAAGCUUCAAUAUUAUUAGGUUUUAGUUUAAUCACUUUGAUUUUUUUCAUUGUGUUUCAUUUUUUUUCCAUAAAAUUUUAUAUGUUCCUCUGAAAUUGCAAUUAAUUUAGGAAGAAGAUUUUAUUUUAUUUUUUUGGUUUUUUUUUGUUUCAUAUUCUAUAGGUUUCGAAUAAUAUGAUGGGUUUUUUUUUUUCAUAUCUAAUUUCAGAUUUUGAAAAAUUUGUUGGAUUUUGUUGUUUGUGCUUCUUAUUUAUGAUAAUGAGUUGGUGGAAUUAAUCAUAUUUUUACUUUCUUUUUUUGAGAUGGUUUGUGUGAUAAUCCAUAAAGAAUAAAUAAUUGAUUGCUAGAAAAAACUUAUGUUGCUCUGUUUUAAAAGCAGAUUUUAAAAAACUUACGUUGUUCUAUUUUUAGAAGCAUAUUAUAAAUAGGAGCUCAUAUGUAGAACUAAAAGCAGAUUAUGCAAAUAAAGGCAGGAAUCUCCUUUCAAUUCAAAUUGCCAAUCCAAAGAUGAUGGCCUGCAAGAAAAAGUGUAAUAGAAAAAACAUGGAUGGGUAGGGAUGUCAAAAGCGG